AGAUUGAACGCUGGCGGCAUGCCUAACACAUGCAGGUCGAACGGGAGUAGCAAUACUCUAGUGGCGGACGGGUGAGGAAUACGUAGGAAUUUGCCCUUAAGUGGGGGAUAACCCGGGGAAACCCGGAUUAAUACCGCAUGACCUCGAAAGAGCAAAGUGGGGGAUCGCAAGACCUCACGCUUUUGGAGAAGCCUACGUCGGAUUAGCUAGUUGGUGAGGUAAUGGCUCACCAAGGCGACGAUCCGUAAACUGGUCUGAGAGGAUGAUCAGUCACACCGGAACUGAGACACGGUCCGGACUCCUACGGGAGGCCAGCCGAGUAGGGGGAAUAUUGGACAAUGGGCGCCAAGCCUGAUCCAGCAAUGCGACGUGUGUGAAGAAGGCCUCGGUUGUAAAGG
rnacentral:rRNA from 1 species